UUGAGGGGUGUGAAGGAAUUGGCUGUAUUCUUUAAAAUACAUAUAUAUUUUUAAAAGGGUGUGUGUGUGUGUGUGUGUGUGUGUGUGUGUGUGUGUGUGUGUUCCUGAGGGCCUGUGCAAGCAACUGGGCUUUACGACUUGCCCUUUUUGGAGGAUCUGACCCCUACCCUGGAGAGAAUUGAAGAGACACCAAGAAAGCAUUGGUGCCUUGAUUGGACUAGGAAUUGCUGCCCUUGUUUUACUCGCCUUUGUCAUCAGUGUCUGUGUCCUUUGCUAUUUAUUUCUGUAUACAAAACCUCAAAGAUUAGACACUGGCCUUAAGCUUCAACAAUUAGAGGCUUCUUCCACUCAAGAAGGCAAGUCAAAUGGAAAAACCAAAGCCCUCAAUUCAAAUGCAACAAAUGAAACAUACUAUGAAGCUGAUGAUAUAAUUCAAGAAAAAACAAUGGAUGCAACAUAAAUCCACAUUGCUUAUUAACUAAAAAUUCUGUGUUUUAAGUGCUUACUGAAGAGAUGGGGCAAGAAAAAUAAAGCAUGC
rnacentral:sRNA from 1 species